rnacentral:rRNA from 1 species
UACGGAAGGCAGCAGUGGGGAAUAUUGCACAAUGGGCGCAAGCCUGAUGCAGCCAUGCCGCGUGUAUGAAGAAGGCCUUCGGGUUGUAAAGUACUUUUCAGUCGUGAGGAAGGUGUUAAGGUUAAUAACCUUAGCAAUUGACGUUAGCGACAGAAGAAGCACCGGCUAACUCCGUGCCAGCAGCCGCGGUAAUACGGAGGGUGCGAGCGUUAAUCGGAAUUACUGGGCGUAAAGGGCACGCAGGCGGUUAAUUAAGUUGGAUGUGAAAUCCCCGGGCUUAACCUGGGAAUGGCAUUCAAGACUGGUUAGCUAGAGUCUUGUAGAGGGGGUAGAAUUCCGAUGUGUAGCGGUGAAAUGCGUAGAGAUGUGGAGGAAUACCGGUGGCGAAGGCGGCCCCCUGGACAAAGGACUGACGCUCAUGUGCGAAAGCGUGGGGAGCAAAC